GGUCCUAUCGAGACUUUGGUCCAAUCGGGACUUCAGAUUUUUGUGAAGUCCAAUCCGAAAAUUGGAUAUCUUACUUGAUCUUGAUCCUUUUGGAACUUUGGUCCAAUCAAAACUUUAGAUUUUUGUGAGGUCCAAUCUGGAGAUCGGAUAUCUCACUUGAUCUUGAUCCUUCGGGGACUUAUCUCAAUCCAAAGAUUAGUAUUUUGGUCCUCAAGGAGACUUGGCCAUUGGGGCUUUAAAUCGAUCUAGAGAUUAGAUUUUUGAUCCUAUUGGGACUUAUCUCGAUUCAAAGAUCGAAUUUUUGAUCCUUCGAGACUUGUCUCGACUUGGAGAUUAGAUUUGUGAUCCUAUUGGGACUUAUCUCAAUUUGAAGAUCGAAUUUUGGUCCUUUGGGACUUAUCUCGAUCGGGAGAUUGAAUUUUUGAUCCUUUGAGAUUUAUCUCGAUUCAAAGAUCAAAUUUUUAUUGAUCAAGAGUUCUUAUCUCUAUCUUAGCGCUUUAGGGCUUAAGCUUGAUUUGAAGAUCGAUUUUUCAUCAAUCAGGAGAUCUUAUCUCUAUCCUGACCCUUCGAGCCUUAAGCUCGAUCUAGAGAUCAACUUUUCAUCAAUCAGAAGAUCUUAUCUCCAUCUUGACCCUUCGGAGCUUAAGCUCAAUCCAAAAAUUGACUUUUUAUCAAUCAGAAGAUCUUAUCUCUAUCCUGACCCUUCGGGGCUUAAGCUCGAUCCGAAGGUCGAUUUUUUAUCGAUCAGAAGAUCUUAUCUCCAUCCUGACUCUUUAGAGCUUAAGCUUGAUUUGGAGAUCAAUUUUUUAUCGAUCAAAAAAUUUUAUCUCCAUCC
rnacentral:lncRNA from 1 species